UUGUCAACUUUUCAUUCAGCAAAAGAAGCUCUGAACGCCCACCGUCCCUCCACGGAAAGGAAACGCUGUCUGGGACGUGGAAAUACAAACCAAACUCCAGAACCCAGGUCUUAGGACGAAAUGGUUGUGGGCAGUUAAGCAGGCCCGCUGGGAAGACAGGAUUUGGGGUGGAGGCUGGGCGUGACGGGGCCUCUGUGAGCCCAUCUGAGUCGGAGGACAGAAUGCACUGGGGGGUCUGGGCUAGUGUCGGGGAGGGAUGUAGUGGAGGGGCAGGGCUGGCGGAUCUCUGUGGAGAGCACUUUCCAGGGAGGCAGGGUCAAGCCUCACUGGUCCCGGUCAGCUGCUGGUCAGGUGGAGGGUGUGUGUUGGCAUCCGGCAGAGGGAGUGGGCCCUGCUGAGCCCAGUGAGGACCGAAUGUAGUCAACGUCUUUUCCUUUUGUGGUUUCUACCUGUGGAAAACGGCUGUGGCUGGACGGCUCUUAGAAAAGGGCUGAGCCUGAAGACAUUUCCAUUUGUAAGUCAGUUACCAAAAACAGCUUUGUUGUGCGUUUUAUGGAUGUAGGGAUUUAAUAGAAAGGAAAGGAAAGGAUGUAGACGCAUCUAGCAGGUUCUGUGGCUGAAACCCCCCUGCGAUAAAAGACAACACGAGAAAAACAAGCACAAGUUUCACAAGCAUCUACAUCCUGUGCUGUGUCCAUGGGAGAGACCCAGGAAAACGGAGUCGCUCCCUGAAACGGCCAAGCCUCCACUUCAACACCAUCUUCAGCUAAAAACAGCAGAAAGAUGUUGAGGUUUGGAGGAGUCAGUUACGGGGGGUCAUCAGGAGAAGCGGGCGAACGCGGAGGAGCUUGUUUCGGAGGUUGAAGUCCCUGCUCUCUCAGAUGAGAAAACUGAAGGUCAAGGAAGAUGAAGGAACAUCCCCUCAGUCCCUCAGUCAGUCCAGGAUGUGGGAUUCAAACCUAAGGGAUCUCCGGUGCUUGAGGGGCCUAAAGUCAGCAGAGAAAAAUCCUGGACUUCUGAAGCAUCCGGCCAAUUUUGUGGAGUUCAGAACAACUUUGUUUUUCAAGACCUUUUUUCCAUGACUUUCGAGAAGCUGGCUGCAUCUUGCGGCACUUUUCCUUUGGAUGAAUCAUUUUCCAGAUCCAGUGUGCAAUGACUUGCAGCCAGAGACGCAGCCUCCUAACUCCAGAUGCAGGUCCAGAUGUCUGCAAGUUCACGGAAGGGAAGAUACAAAUGUCCUGGCUUUGCCAUGUGCCCUGGGAAGCAUCCUUUUUUUUCUCUUUAGAGAGAGGGAGAGAGGGGAAAACCCACCAGAUUUGCUUCACUUCCUGCUUUAAACACUAUGCCUUAGAGUUCAUUUACAUAUGAAAUUGAAUCAUGUGAUAGCACAUGUGGGGAAAUUUUGCCUGAAACCCAUUUUCCUUUAAUCCGCAGAUGCUGUGGAUCGUGAAAUGCUGGCACUUGUCAGGGUGGCAGGCUUUCCCGGAAGGCACAGUGUAAACUACACGCUACUCAGUGAGCAGCUUUGUACACGGGUCCUAAACCGCUUUCUGAAGAGGAUACCAUGGAAGUUUAUUUAGUUCCCUUAUCUUUAAAAUAGUGUAAAGACACUAAAUAACUCCAUAGAAUUAUUGUGGCAUCACUGAGAAUCCUUUGGGGUACUUUGCAUGGGAAUAAAUGAUCGUUCGUUAAUAUGAAAUUAUAGAAUCGAGCCCCAUCAAAAUAGGAUUUUUGUUUGUUUUAUUACUUUUCGUCUUUGUGUUGCUGGUGUAUCUACCUGUGGCUAUUUGUAAAACUUUCCUAUUUUCAACAAAUACAUAUUUAACCCUUGUCGCAGGCCGGGAACCUUUCUACGCGCCGCGGAGUCAGAGGUGCACGAGGUGGACCUGGCUGUCUCUGGCACACGUGGAAAUUAAGGGAGCGCAAGGGGGUAACAGGAGAAACAGUGUUCUGGCCUGAAUCGUGUUUGGGCCCUAACCCCCAGGACUGGAUGACUGUAUUUGGAGGUGGGGACCUUUACCGUGGUGGUUAAGUUAAAAUGAGGUCACUAGGAUGGGCGCUGAUCCCACAGGACCGAAGUCCUUAUACGAAGAGGAGAUGAGGACACAGACACACACAGAGGGACAACCACGUGAGGACACGGGGAGAAGGUGGCAUCCCCAAGCCAAGUAGGGAGGCCUCGGGAGAAACCAGCCCUGCCCACACCUCGAUCCUGGAUGUCCAGCCUCCAAACCAUGAGGGACUAAAUGUCUGUGCUUUAAGCGCAGCCCGAGCAGACCAACAUAGACAGAAAACGCGCUCGUGAAACAGAAAGGCAGAUUGCGCGUCAGGACGGUGGGCCGCACGUCAGCUCAUCUUGGGUGGGCUAACACAGUGCUGUGCCCCAGGCAUGAGCGAAGAAGGCCUCAUCCUGCCCGUGGGGCCGGCCUGCCGCGGGGACACAUGGUGAGCGCGUGGCCUCACCAGCGCUCUCUCUGCAGAACGUCUGAGGCCCUGGAGCCCCGCCCGCGGGCAGGAGAGAGGGUGCUGCGUGGUGUCAGCUCUGAGGAAGAUCACCCUCAACGCCGAGGGGUCUGUUCCGAGCGCGGGGAGGAGACGAGCCCCGUAUGCUGGCCUCUGUUCGCACGGCCCCGUUAUCGGGAAGAAGCCUGUUCUCUCAAUCUCAUUUUUGUCUCUGGUAAGUGGAGAAAUGUGGUUUGCAUCACUCAGAGCCUUGGGAAUGUCUUACGGGAUAUUUCUGGAAUGGGCAAAGUUCAGCACAGGCUGGAGCCAAAACGUCCCCAUGACUGAGUCAGUCUAGUCCGAAUGUUUACGACCGUCUCGAGAAUGGUCUGCAUAUGUGCGAAGCUGGCGCUGCGGUUGAUCACAUCCCUGGGAACCGAGGAAACGCCGCAGGAAAGCAAGAAUGGCGCGCGGGCUGCCCACGGGUGUCUUUUCUCUUUCGGAGCUUGCGGCUGCGGGAGAAGGCCAGCUGCACGUGAGUGUUUACCAGGCUCUUCCCCUCAAAGGACCAAGCCUCCUCAGCCUGGUUGGAAGCCCCAAAGGCCGCAGGGAAGCCCAGGUGACCUGCGUCAUGAUCUUCUUCCUUCUUUGCCCUGGACUCCACCUUCAGGACCGGUUCAGUCCAGCAUCUCUGAAGUUUUUGACGGGAGUCACCUACAACAGGGUUCUCAAAACGUGGUCUGUGGGCCCCUGGGGUCUCUGGGACCCUUUCAGAGGUUUCGAGCUCAAAACCACUUUCCUAAUAAUACUAAAUACUCUUCCCCCCUCCCUCUCCCACAAGUGUGCAGUAGGGUUUUCCAGAGGCUGUGGAAUGUGAGCUCACUAUUCUCGUGUUCUCUAGAAUGUUCUAAAUAAGUAGGGUUAAGUUGUACGUAUGUGCAUUUUCAGAGAUUAACAGCUUUCAGUACUUCUCUGUUCUUACUAGUUAUCUUCCGUUAUACCUACUAUAAUUUCCAUAAAUUUAUUUUGGAAAAUCUCAAAUUCCCUUAGCUAUCAUUAAAAUUACUUAUGUUGAGAAAUACUAAGAACAUCUCCCCUAGAAGCAGGAAUUAGAGAUAUCUUUUGUAAUUUCUAGUAUUCAGCAUUUUACAAGAUAUACCAAUGAAAAAGAAAGUAGAAUUAUUUUUUUACAAAUGAAAUGCUUAUGUACAUAGAAAAUCCAGAAGAAUUUUUUUACAAAUGAAAUGCUUCCAUACGUAGAAAAUACAAGAGACUCAAUACCAAGCCGGUUAACAGGACUUUUAGUAUAAAAAUAAGGUGAAAAAAAAAAAAUAGGUGAAAAUUUUAUUCACAGCAACAAACAUCAUAAUACACCAAAGGAUAAGCAAAAUCAAAAUAACCUAUAUUUUUAAAAUAUCAUAAUAUUUGAUCAAAGAACAGAAUGUAAAACCUGAUUAAUAAGGCAAUAAUAAAUACAUGAAUAAAGAAAACAAUAAUUCUUCCCAAAUUAAUACAUAAAUUUAAUGCAAUUUUAAACAAAAUCCCAUUAGCUUUUUUUAGCUAGACAAAAUGUGUCUAACAUUUGUAUGGAAAAGUAAAGGCAUGAGGUCUGACAAGACAUUUUUGAUGACGAAGAUUAGUGACCAAGGGUAUAUACUUAUAUAUUAUUAGAAUUUACCCAUGAAGCUACAGAGAGGUAUGAGCACAGGAUGGACAAAUACAUUAGUAGAACAAAUGCAAACAUUGAGAAACAAUCCACGUGUAUGAAAGAACUUCAUCUAUGAUAAAGUUGGCAUGUUAUUUCAUUGGUGGAGAAAGAAUUAUUCAAUAAAUAGUGCUGGAAAAAUUGUCUAUUCAUGUGGAAGAAAAAAAAUCAUACAUAAGACCAUAAAUAAUCCUCCACUUCAGACAGUUUAAAUAUAUAAAUCUAAAAGUGAAAUAAAAUACUGGAAGAAAUAUGAGAGAAGAGUUUUGUAAUAUUGUGGUAAAGAUGACCAUCCAGACUGUGUAGGAAAUGCAUAGCUAUAAAGGACAAAAUGCACAGAUUCGAUUAUAUAAAUAUUAAAAAGCUUUAUUUUUAAAGGGGAAAAACCCCAAAGCCAAAGAUAAUAAUAUUAAUUAUAAUGGGGAAAAUACUAUGUUAUUAAGAAAAAGGUAACCUAGUUUUUUAAAUGAACAAACUAUAUAAAUAAGGAGAUCACUGAAGAGAAAAUAUGAAAAGCUAUAUAUAAAAAAAUGUUCAAUGUCACUAAUAGUCAGGGAACAAUAACAUAACAUUUGGGAAAAUAAGAAAGAAAAGUAAUUUCAAGUUUCUUAUGCAGAAAUACAAAAAAG